rnacentral:rRNA from 1 species
GCCCCGAAUCGGAUGAACUAAGCCAUCCGAGUCAUUGUAGUAUACAAGGCAGACGGCUCAGUAACGCGUAGUCAAUCUAACCUAUGGACGGGAAUAACCUCGGGAAACUGAGUAUAAUGCCCGAUAGAACAUUAUGCCUGGAAUGGUUUAUGUUCCAAAUGAUUUAUCGCCGUAGGAUGGGACUGCGGCCUAUCAGUUUGUUGGUGAGGUAAUGGCCCACCAAGACUAUUACAGGUACGGGCUCUGAGAGGAGUAGCCCGGAGAUGGGUACUGAGACACGGACCCAGGCCCUAUGGGGCGCAGCAGGCGAGAAAACUUUGCAAUGUGCGAAAGCACGACAAGGUUAAUCCGAGUGGUUUCUGCUAAAGGAACCUUUUGUCGGUCCUAGAAACACCGAUGAAUAAGGGGUGGGCAAGUUCUGGUGUCAGCCGCCGCGGUAAAACCAGCACCUCAAGUGGUCAGGAUGAUUAUUGGGCCUAAAGCAUCCGUAGCCGGCUCUGUUAGUUUUCGGUUAAAUCUGUACGCUCAACGUACAGGCUGCCGGGAAUACUGCAGAGCUAGGGAGUGGGAGAGGUAGAA